rnacentral:rRNA from 1 species
GGAUUAGAUACCCUGGUAGUCCACGCCGUAAACGAUGUCGACUAGCCGUUGGUCUCCUUGAGGGAUUAGUGGCGCAGCUAACGCAGUAAGUCGACCGCCUGGGGAGUACGGCCGCAAGGUUAAAACUCAAAUGAAUUGACGGGGGCCCGCACAAGCGGUGGAGCAUGUGGUUUAAUUCGAAGCAACGCGAAGAACCUUACCAGGUCUUGACAUCCAGAGAACUUUCUAGAGAUAGAUUGGUGCCUUCGGGAACUCUGUGACAGGUGCUGCAUGGCUGUCGUCAGCUCGUGCCG